rnacentral:rRNA from 1 species
CUAGCUGUAAACGAUGGAUACUAGGCGUUGAGAGUAUCGACCCUCUCAGUGUCGUAGCUAACGCGUUAAGUAUCCCUCCUGGGGAGUACGCGCGCAAGCGUGAAACUCAAAGGAAUUGACGGGGGCCCGCACAAGCGGUGGAGUAUGUGGUUUAAUUCGAUGCAACGCGAAGAACCUUACCAGGGCUUGACAUGUCCGGAACCCUGCCCAAAGGCGGGGGUGCCUACGGGAACCGGAACACAGGUGGUGC